rnacentral:rRNA from 1 species
AGAGUUUGAUCCUGGCUCAGGACGAACGCUGGCGGCGUGCUUAACACAUGCAAGUCGAGCGAUGAAACACCUUCGGGUGUGAAUUAGCGGCGAACGGGUGAGGAACACGUGAAGAAUCUGCCUUCAACUCUGGGAUAACUCCGGGAAACCGGGGCUAAUACCGGAUAUGAGCCUUGAUCGCAUGAUCGGGGCUGGAAAGUUUUUCGGUUGAAGAUGACUUCGCGGCCUAUCAGCUUGUUGGUGAGGUAAUGGCUCACCAAGGCGACGACGGGUAGCCGGCCUGAGAGGGCGACCGGCCACACUGGGACUGAGACACGGCCCAGACUCCUACGGGAGGCAGCAGUGGGGAAUAUUGGGCAAUGGAGGAAACUCUGACCCAGCGACGCCGCGUGAGGGAUGAAGGCCUUCGGGUUGUAAACCUCUUUCAGUAGGGAAGAAGCGAAAGUGACGGUACCUACAGAAGAAGCACCGGCUAACUAUGUGCCAGCAGCCGCGGUAAUACAUAGGGUGCAAGCGUUGUCCGGAAUUAUUGGGCGUAAAGAGCUCGUAGGUGGUUCGAUACGUCGGAUGUGAAAAUCAGGGGCUCAACCCCUGACCUGCAUCCGAUACGGUCGAGCUAGAGUUUGGUAGGGGAGACUGGAAUUCCUGGUGUAGCGGUGGAAUGCGCAGAUAUCANGAGGAACACCGAUGGCGAAAGCAGGUCUCUGGGCCAAUACUGACACUGAGGAGCGAAAGCGUGGGGAGCGAACAGGAUUAGAUACCCUGGUAGUCCACGCCGUAAACGGUGGGCGCUAGUUGUGCGAACCUUCCACGGUUUGUGCGACGCAGCUAACGCAUUAAGCGCCCCGCCUGGGGAGUACG